rnacentral:rRNA from 1 species
UACGUAGGGUGCAAGCGUUGUCCGGAUUUAUUGGGCGUAAAGAGCUCGUAGGCGGUUUGUCGCGUCGAAUGUGAAAACCCGGGGCUCAACCCCGGGCCUGCAUUCGAUACGGGCAGACUAGAGUUCGGUAGGGGAGUCUGGAAUUCCUGGUGUAGCGGUGAAAUGCGCAGAUAUCAGGAGGAACACCGGUGGCGAAGGCGGGACUCUGGGCCGAUACUGACGCUGAGGAGCGAAAGCGUGGGGAGCAAACAGG